GCAAACUUGGUCAUUUAGAGGAAGUAAAAGUCGUAACAAGGUUUUCGUAGGUGAACCUGCGAAAGGAUCAUUAACGAGUUAGGGUCCUCUGGGCCCGACCUCCCAACCCUUUGUUUACUGAACCUCUGUUGCUUCGGCGGGCCCGUCUCACGACCGCCGGAGGAGCGCUGAAAGGCGUGUCCUCUGGCCCGUGUCCGCCGAUAGCCAACCACAAAACUCUGUAUAAAUCAUGUUAUGUCUAAGUCAAUGAUUAAAAUCAAAAGCAAAACUUUCAACAACGGAUCUCUUGGUUCUGGCAUCGAUGAAGAACGCAGC
rnacentral:misc_RNA from 1 species